rnacentral:snRNA from 1 species
GGAUGUGAGGGCGAUCUGGCUGCAACAUCUGUCACCCCAUUGAUCGCCAGAGUUGAUUCGGCUGAUCUGGCUGGCUAGGCGGGUGUCCCCUUCCUCCCUUAUGGCUCCAUGUGCGUCCUUCCCGAAGCUGCAUGCUCGGUCAAAGAGGAUGACCAUCCCCGGUAGAGGAGGACCAGUCUUUGGUCAAGGGUGUACCAGCAGCUGCGUUCCCCUGCUAGAACCUCCAAACAAGCUCUCAAGGUCCAUCAGGUUUUUUAAGGUUCAUCUAUGUCAUAGCAUGUAUCAGAAUUCCUCUCCAU